rnacentral:rRNA from 1 species
AUAUCAAACUAGGUACCGAGUCUAACUUGCGACCGCCGUCCGGAUUGUGUACGUUCAGCUCGCCGUCGCCCUUCUAUCGAACGAUAGAAACGGCCGCUCGCCGCCUGCCCACUCAUUACGGAUCCCUAGACGGGUCAGCUCCCCCUAUUGUCAACCUUUGCUGACGAUUAUGGCGUAUGCGGGAUGCCCCCUUUCCUCCCCUGGAAGCCCGGAAGGCGCUAACCUACUUGGAUCCACCCUAAUCGAUCAACCACUCCAUUACCGAGUGGUUCCGCUGCUAGGGAUCGACAAGACUCUCCUACUAGUCGGUGUGACCCUGACUCUGUGCCGGGUCUGAGGAUGCCCUCCGUCGUCACCCCUUAUAACGUGUUACCCCCUUUGGGACUACGUCGGUACGGCGCACACACUUCUUCCGGAAGCCCAACAUUUCGUGAAAGUCAUCCCUCCUUUCCAUUGUCGAAUUAUCGACGCAACGAACUGCAAUGGAUGUCUUCUUCCUGGCCGAUUGAGGCACGGUCGUCGGCGCCAUUAUGCCUCCCAGGCUCGCAAUUAGCCUUAAUGACCCGCAUUUCGCACGCGUCCGCCAAACAAUUCGCUCUACACUUUCGGGGCCCGAGUUGGACCCUUAACGUAAAGCUUGACCGCUUGAUCUCAGAACAUCUCCCCCCAUCUUAAGGUCCACAUCGCCACUUUACGCAUCUCUAGACCUCCUUAUGGCCACCGCUUCCGCCGGGGGACCUGUUUCUGACUGCGAGUCCGUGCUUUCGCACCCCUCGUUUGUCCUAAUCUAUGGGACCAUCAGGUGCGGCAUUUGCUACAGAUGAGCCUCAAACCACAGAACUUGUGACCCGAGAGUUCGAUUGCGUAAUUCAUCUGGCGGACCCCUCAUGCCGGCGUUCCAAUUUUGAGUUUACUUAACUGCCCCCGGGCGUGUUCGCCACCUCGUACACCAAAUUAAGCUACGUUGCGCUUCUUGGAAUGGAUGAGAACUGUAGGUGUCUUAAGCGAUCUCUAUCGAAUCACGGAAGCCCUUGACACUCUGUCCACGACGUACCGACAGCAGUCGAGCACAACACUUUACAACCCAAUUCAGGGCGUUGCUCGCGUUGGGGAUAGGAAUAAACGGUCGUGCAUUACCACCCUUGAGAUCCCUCUGACGGCCACUAUUUGGCCUCCUUCCACCCCUGCUGCAGUUCAGUAGUACCGGGAAUGCUGGUCUUCCACUAGGUCGGGGUCCAAGGGGAUCCCGAUGGAACAAUGCUGAAGUGGGGUCAGUACUUGGUGUUUCACCACUCGCGGGGGGGCUUCCAAUUCGAUGGGUGAAGAAAACGUCGGGUGAGGGUACCACACUGCCCGCCACACAUGUUCCGGGCCCUUGCAUAAGUGGCACCGUAAGACUAGGUGCUAAUGAUCGCUAAGGCUGAAGUACCUCAGCUCAACGUCUGAGGUUAGGCCUGAUGCUGCUCGAAACACUCUAAUCGAGGUGGAGCGCCGAAACGUUGGGAGACAUGAGCGGUAACAUCGUGCACACUCGGGAUGAGCUUCCGGU